rnacentral:rRNA from 1 species
CAGCCGCCGCGGUAAUACAGAGGAUGCAAGCGUUAUCCGGAAUCACUGGGCAUAAAGCGUCUGUAGGUUGCCUACCAAGUCUGCUGUUAAAGAUCAGGGCCUAACCCUGGGAAAGCAGUGGAAACUAGUAGGCUUGAGUGUGGUAGAGGUAGAGGGAAUUCCUGGUGUAGCGGUGGAAUGCGUAGAUAUUAGGAAGAACACCAAUGGCGAAAGCACUCUACUGGGCCAUAACUGACACUGAGAGACGGCAGCUAGGGGAGCAAAUGGGAUUAGAUACCCCAGUAGUCCUAGCCGUAAACGAUGGAUACUAGGUGUUGCACGUAUUAACCCGUGCAGUAUCGUAGCUAAGGCGUUAAGUAUCCCGCCUGGGAAGUACGCUCGCAAGAGUGAAACUCAAAUGAAUUGACGG